rnacentral:rRNA from 1 species
GACGAACGCUGGCGGCGUGCUUAACACAUGCAAGUCGAACGGAAAGGCCCUGCUUUUGUGGGGUGCUCGAGUGGCGAACGGGUGAGUAACACGUGAGUAACCUGCCCUUGACUUUGGGAUAACUUCAGGAAACUGGGGCUAAUAACGGAUAGGAGCUCCUGCUGCAUGGUGGGGGUUGGAAAGUUUCGGCGGUUGGGGAUGGACUCGCGGCUUAUCAGCUUGUUGGUGGGGUAGUGGCUUACCAAGGCUUUGACGGGUAGCCGGCCUGAGAGGGUGACCGGCCACAUUGGGACUGAGAUACGGCCCAGACUCCUACAGGAGGCAGCAGUGGGGAAUAUUGCACAAUGGGCGGAAGCCUGAUGCAGCAACGCCGCGUGCGGGAUGACGGCCUUCGGGUUGUAAACCGCUUUCGCCUGUGACGAAGCGUGAGUGACGGUAAUGGGUAGAGAAGCACCGGCUAACUACGUG